GAACGCUGGCGGCAGGCCUAACACAUGCAAGUCGAGCGGUAGAGAGGUGCUUGCAUCUCUUGAGAGCGGCGGACGGGUGAGUAAUGCUAGGAAUCUGCCUAGUGGUGGGGGAUAACGUUCGGAAACGGACGCUAAUACCGCAUGCGUCCUACGGGAGAAAGCGGGGGAUCUUCGGACCUCGCGCCAUUAGAUGAGCCUAGGUCGGAUUAGCUAGUUGGUGAGGUAAUGGCUCACCAAGGCGACGAUCCGUAACUGGUCUGAGAGGAUGAUCAGUCACACUGGAACUGAGACACGGUCCAGACUCCUACGGGAGGCAGCAGUGGGGAAUAUUGGACAAUGGGCGAAAGCCUGAUCCAGCCAUGCCGCGUGUGUGAAGAAGGUCUUCGGAUUGUAAAGCACUUUAAGUUGGGAGGAAGGGUAGUAACCUAAUACGUUGCUACUUUGACGUUACCGACAGAAUAAGCACCGGCUAACUUCGUG
rnacentral:rRNA from 1 species